GUAUUACCACUCUGAGUCUGGGCUGGCACCAUGAGUACUUAACAAACCAAGAAGAAUGAUAAUAUCUUGGGCAACUCCCCUAGCAAGAGUGUGAUACCUUGAGCUUCCAGUCUCUGUAGAUAGACAGUUCUCAUCAACAACUGCCAUGCUGUGAGAAACUCAAGCCUGGAGGAGAAGCCCCGUGCUGGCAUAUCAUUAACAUCCAGGGUGCUUCCAGCUGUCUGGUUUCUGGUGUGAGCCAUCUUGAAUGCUUUAGCCUCACUGUGCCUUGAGCUGACUGAAGGCCCCAGUUGGUGUCAAGCAGAGCAGCAGAAACACCCAGCCAACCCCAGUCAGCCUGCAGCCUAGUGGUGGUGCUUGUAAUGCUAUUUCAAAAACAGUUGCUUUCACAGCAGUCCAUAAUUGAAAUAUCUUCCCCGGAAGAGUCCUGGGACUGAGGCUGUGGACGAACUCAUUUAAGCUAUGAAAAAAUAGUCUUUAGAUUUAUAGGUCUAAUCCUCAUAACUAGUUUUUGAAUGUCACAUGGCUUAACUUAAGCCAUUUUUUUCCCUUAGAAACUAGACACCUUUAAGUUUUCUUACGUCAAAGUCCUAUAUUUAUAGUUGCAUAUUCUAGUACCUUUAUUCUCCCAGUGAACUGAUACAUAAAAAAAUACAUAAUAGGUAUUUUUCUUUGAAGAAUAGGAACACUGUUUUUCAGGGGGGUUGUUUUUUUAUUUUCUUUCAUUUUUAAAAUUUUUCUCAGUAGAAACAGCAUGAGCCUGGCCUUCUUAAAAUAUUACCCCUUUCAUUUAAUAGUUAUUCCCUGCUUAACUUCCCCUAGCUACUUGUCUCUUCAUUUUCAAGGUGAGUGGACUUUAAAGGAUGAGAGAUCAGACAUAAUGUAUGUUAUGAACUUGAGAGUUCCUGGCACAUAGGUGGAGCUCAAUAAACAUAGCUUUUAUGGUUAUGAAGGAGGUGGUAAUUAUAGGGUUUUAAAAAGCAGUAAGAUUUUUGUCUUAUUUCAUGUUUCUAAGAGCACAUGGGAAUGGGUGUUCCUGGGUUUCAUUAAGGUGGACUUCACAGGGUUAACAAUGGUCUGCCCUUGAAGCUCUCCCUAUAAACAAAUAUGUUGCUUCCCAAGAAGUGUGGGGUGGUAGCCCCACCGAUGCUGGCUUCCUCAUACUUUAUUGCUGAAAGGGAUCUGAGGGAGGUGACAGGCAGCUUCUGGCACCUGUCCCCAGGGGAGAAGUAAUGGAGAAUUCCUUUUUCCCCCCUUCUGUCCUCCCUUUUCCACUUCCAUUCUUUUUCUUAUUUAAUAGAAAAGAAUAGCAAAACAUAAUGGUUUUAUAGGAUUUCUGCAUGCUAAUAGGAGCCACAAAGUUCACAAGAUGCACAUCCAAGGAGGGGGGCAUACAUCCUAAAGUCUGACUCUUGUAAUCUGAUCCCUAGGAUAGUUGUUACAGUCCUAGGAGUCUAGUCCCUCUUUGGUGUUUUGUCCUAGCCUGUGGGUAACAGGAUCAUUUUCCUUGUAAGUGACAAGGGUUUUAAAUAAGACAGCUUGAUUCGGCAGCCACCUUCCCUGUGAUUAAGGUUAAUAUGACAACUAGAGAAUGAGCCAGCAGCCUUUUCUGUGACUGAGGUAAAGCAGGUAAUUGCUAUCGGUGGGAGUGACAUAACACCUUUUCAGAGCUGAGGGUUAUGUCCUUGGUGUUCCCUCACACCUGCCAGGCUUGUAGCUACCUGAUUCCACCCAGUCCUUGACAUUUAAAUGACCUUGGCUAUGGAUAAGCUCCCUGUUCAGUCCUUGAAUGUAAGGUUUGAAAGCAGACAUGGUAAUCCAUGAGGAAACUAUAAUCCUUGAGUAUGUCAAGAUGCUAUUUUUAUUUGAAAAUUUACAUAAAUAUUGGCAACUAAAAUCUUAAGCAUCAAGUGCUUUGGUAUUUGGUAUUUGGAUUUCUCGCUCUAAAAAACUUCAUGUCCAUCACUAGAAUCUUUGUUAAGAAAACUCUCAUUUUCUCAAAAUCAAGUAAAUGAAGCGAGAAAAUGAUCACAUGAACCAUUUCAAAAUACUGGUGCAUACACAUGCAGGUUGUGUAGAGGUGAACUUCCGAUGACUCAUUUGUGCCUGUGAGCUUGUCAUAAUCCUGGUUGCAAUCAUGCAAAUCCAGCCAGGCUUUUGUUGGUGGCAGUGGUAGGACAGAAAACAUAGUUUAAGAUACUAAUGCUCUUUGAAUCAUUCAUAAUUGUGGAGUAAUUUCAUCUGGAAGGAAAUUAUAAUAUUCUUACCUCCUGGCAUGUGAAAAGGCUUAAAUAAAUAUACUUCAAAAACAGUAGAAUUGUCCUGCAUAAAAUGAAUUGCAGAUUUUCUUAAGAGUUGAGCAUUGCCUGUCACUGCCCUGGGUCUGCAUGGGAUGACGAUGUUGUCUGGAUUUCGAGAGAGUUUGUAAGAGUUCCCCUAUGGACACAGUUCCUUGGAAGUCAUUUGGUUCCUUGGAAGAGUGGCUUAAAUGUUCAGAUGCACAGACAGACACUGGAACACCACGGAAUGUUCCCUGGAGCCUGUGCUCUCUCUUACAGUGAGUUUCUUCCAUUUCUUCCAGUACUUCAAGUCCUGUUUCUAAACAAACAAACAAAC
rnacentral:lncRNA from 1 species